AGUGAACGCUGGCGGUAGGCCUAACACAUGCAAGUCGAACGGCAGCACAGUAAGAGCUUGCUCUUACGGGUGGCGAGUGGCGGACGGGUGAGGAAUACAUCGGAAUCUACUUUUUCGUGGGGGAUAACGUAGGGAAACUUACGCUAAUACCGCAUACGACCUACGGGUGAAGGCAGGGGAUCUUCGGACCUUGCGCGAUUGAAUGAGCCGAUGUCGGAUUAGCUAGUUGGCGGGGUAAAGGCCCACCAAGGCGACGAUCCGUAGCUGGUCUGAGAGGAUGAUCAGCCACACUGGAACUGAGACACGGUCCAGACUCCUACGGGAGGCAGCAGUGGGGAAUAUUGGACAAUGGGCGCAAGCCUGAUCCAGCCAGACCGCGUGGGUGAAGAAGGCCUUCGGGUUGUAAAGCCCUUUUGUUGGGAAAGAAAAGCAGCAGGUUAAUACCCCGCUGUUCUGACGGUACCCAAAGAAUAAGCACCGGCUAACUUCGUG
rnacentral:rRNA from 1 species